GACGUAGGGCGCGAGCGUUGUCCGGAUUUAUUGGGCGUAAAGAGCUCGUAGGCGGCUCGUUGCGUCGGCUGUGAAAACCCGCAGCUCAACUGUGGGCUUGCAGCCGAUACGGGCGGGCUGGAGUUCGGUAGGGGAGACUGGAAUUCCUGGUGUAGCGGUGAAAUGCGCAGAUAUCAGGAGGAACACCAAUGGCGAAGGCAGCUCACUGGGACGGUAUUGACGCUGAGACGCGAAAGCGUGGGGAGCAAACAGG
rnacentral:rRNA from 1 species